CGCGGCCUAUCAGCUUGUUGGUGAGGUAACGGCUCACCAAGGCGUCGACGGGUAGCCGGCCUGAGAGGGCGACCGGCCACACUGGGACUGAGAUACGGCCCAGACUCCUACGGGAGGCAGCGGUGGGGAAUAUUGCGCAAUGGGCGAAAGCCUGACGCAGCAACGCCGCGUGCGGGAUGACGGCCUUCGGGUUGUAAACCGCUUUCAGCAGGGACGAAGGGUUACCUUGACGGUACCUGCAGAAGAAGCACCGGCUAACUACGUGCCAGCAGCCGCGGUGAUACGUAGGGUGCGGGCGUUGUCCGGAAUUAUUGGGCGUAAAGAGCUUGUAGGCGGUCUGUUGCGUCGGAAGUGAAAACUCAGGGCUUAACCCUGAGCCUGCUUUCGAUACGGGCAGACUUGAGGGAUGUAGGGGAGAACGGAAUUCCUGGUGGAGCGGUGGAAUGCGCAGAUAUCAGGAGGAACACCAGUGGCGAAGGCGGUUCUCUGGACAUUUCCUGACGCUGAGAAGCGAAAGCGUGGGGAGCAAACAGGCUUAGAUACCCUGGUAGUCCACGCCGUAAACGGUGGGCACUAGGUGUGGGUUCCAUUCCACGGAAUCCGUGCCGAAGCUAACGCAUUAAGUGCCCCGCCUGGGGAGUACGG
rnacentral:rRNA from 1 species